CACUUUUGCUCAAUCUCCCCCAAAUUCACAUUUACAGCAAACACUACCAACCUCCAAAAUCACACUACGAGCUCCAAUCUCACCACCGUACGAAACCCCACCGGACAAAUCUCCACCGGACGACCACCGUACGACAACCAGACGAAGCUUUUGUUCCCACUAUCGAACGAACCCCCUUAAGGGCUGUUAAUUGGGGCGUCAUACAAAUCACGAAAAUGGAAUGUUUAAAAGUUGUAUAUUUUGGCUUCUAGAGUUGUUGAUGAUGGUACAGGCUGAUGGUCAAGACCCGUGCGUGCAAAGUUGGUAUUGUAAUGCCUGAUGCAAGCUAGAGUUGGAAACCGAGAAUCUAAUUAGCCAUACAUGAGUUUCCCCGUCAUGAGAAAGCAACAAAUUUGUCAUUUCGACAAAAACAACUAUAUUUUCAUUGAUUUAUACCCCAUCUUUCUUCUACCAAUCCUAUCUUUAUUCAUUCUCCAAUAUUUCAUCUCUUUUCAAUCUUUAACAUAUCAACAGAUUAAAGGGUGUUUGUUAUAUUACACUAACUCAAUAUGAUAUUGAAGAUGUUCAAGAACACUGCAAUAAUCUAUUUUCCCAGCAAGAGAUAGUUUCUUUGUAUAAAAGAUUUUGUCAACUCGACCGCAAUGCCAAGGGAUUCAUUUCUGCUGAUGAGUUUCUUUCGGUACCCGAAUUUGCAAUGAAUCCUCUGUCUCAGAGAUUGCUUAAGAUGGUGGAUGGUUUGAACUUUAAGGACUUUGUGAUAUUCUUGUCAGCUUUUAAUCCUAAAGCAAGCAUGCCCCAGAAGAUUGAAC